rnacentral:lncRNA from 1 species
AACGGUCGGCGCGGCCUGCCACGAGGGAGCGUCCGCGGCCCGCGCAGAGCCGCGCACCAAGUCGAUGGCCGUGGACGCAGCAGGGCCCCGCGGUCUGCGUGCGGGCAGGCGCUCGUGGGCGUGUCUCCCUGGCCCACGCGUGUCCCCGGCAUCAGUGUCUCGGCUCUGGUCCAGGACGAAGACUUCUGAAAGCAAGCCAAGGAGCACAGGAUGUUUCUUGGCUUCAAACCAUUUGGAUAAGCGAUGUCAGCAAGCUUCGCCGCUGUAAAGUCACCUCUUUAUAAGAAGACAGGAGCUCUUUGUAAAGAAUAUGAGACCUGAGGCUGGGGGAUGGCUGAGAAGGGAAAAGCACCUCUGCACAGGUGUGAGGAAAGGAGUUUGUUCUUCCAAAUCCAUGUAGAAAUCUUGAUGCUGUGU